AUACAGAGGAAAUGAGAGAUUCACGUCUGAGCACAACUCCGGUGGCACAAAUUCAAUGUUGUGGACAAUUGCAGAUGAAGAGGAAUGUGACACCUCUUUGAUCAGAAGAGCAACAGAUACUUUGAGAACAUCAGGAGGGAAUCUAAGUUGUCAGAAGACAAAGUGGAAGAGGAUCGGAGGGCCAAAGCUCUCAACAACCGAAGACAUAGAC